rnacentral:rRNA from 1 species
CAGUAGCCGCGGUAAUACGUAGGGUGCAAGCGUUAAUCGGAAUUACUGGGCGUAAAGCGUGCGUAGGCGGUGAGUUAAGUCUGCUGUGAAAUCCCCGGGCUCAACCUGGGAAUGGCAGUGGAUACUGGCUCGCUAGAGUGUGUCAGAGGAUGGUGGAAUUCCCGGUGUAGCGGUGAAAUGCGUAGAGAUCGGGAGGAACAUCAGUGGCGAAGGCGGCCAUCUGGGACAACACUGACGCUGAGGCACGAAAGCGUGGGGAGCAAACAGGAUUAGAUACCCCCGUAGUCCCUGUCUCUUAUAC